rnacentral:misc_RNA from 1 species
CAUUACUCCAUCCGUGCAAAGUUGCUUUCCUUCCUAAAGGUGUUGAACUUCCAUCAGGAAUUUGCUCAUUUGUGUGCCGGCGAGUUUAUGACAUUACAAACAAGUGUUUAUGGUGGCUAACUGAUCAAGAUUAUAUUAAUGAUCGGCAAGAAGAAGUAGAUCAGCUAUUGUGUAAAACGCGCAUAGAAAUGCAUGCAACAGUGCCUCAAGGCGGGCUUUCACCGAAGCCAGUGAAUGGUCCGACAUCAACUCCAC